GACGGAAGGUGCAAGCGUUGCUCGGAAUCACUGGGCGUAAAGGGUGCGUAGGCGGCUUGGUAAGUUGGGUGUGAAAGCCCCGGGCUCAGCCCGGGAAGGGCACUCGAAACUGCCGAGCUGGAGUGCCGGAGGGGAGAGUGGAAUUCCUGGUGUAGCGGUGAAAUGCGUAGAUAUCAGGAGGAAUACCGGUGGCGAAAGCGACUCUCUGGGCGGCAACUGACGCUGAGGCACGAAAGCGUGGGGAGCAAACAGG
rnacentral:rRNA from 1 species